UAUGAUCUUUCUAAAAAGUGUCAGAGUUUCUCGUGAGUGAGUGUGUACCUGGGGGUGGUAUAAGAGAUAAUGCCAAAGUGAUUGUAUUAACUUACACUUCCUCCUUUCUUAGCUUCCUGAGUAGCUGGGAUUACAGACAGCCACCACCAUGCCCGACAAUUUUUUUUUAUUUUUAGUAGAGAUGGGUUUUCACCAUGUCGGCCACUCAACUUGUUCUCAAUCAGCCUGGAGAUCCAUGUCAUCUCUAUGCUGGGAAGUCCUCUGCCUAGUCUAAGAUCUUCCCUGUGAUCUUCAUUGUUGUAGCAAAAAAAAAUGAAGAAACAUCCUCAAUGUCCAACAAUAGGCAAGUGGCUACAUUAAACUGAGGUUUAGCCAGAUCAUGAAAUACCAGGCCAGGCCGGGCACGGUGGCUCAUGCCUGUAAUCCCAGCACUUUGGGAGGCCGAGGCAGGCAGAUCACGAGGUC
rnacentral:lncRNA from 1 species